CCUACGGGAGGCAGCAGUGAGGAAUAUUGGUCAAUGGACGCAAGUCUGAACCAGCCAUGCCGCGUGCAGGAAGACGGCUCUAUGAGUUGUAAACUGCUUUUGUACGAGGGUAAACGCAUAUACGUGUAUCUUUUUGAAAGUAUCGUACGAAUAAGGAUCGGCUAACUCCGUGCCAGCAGCCGCGGUAAUACGGAGGAUUCAAGCGUUAUCCGGAUUUAUUGGGUUUAAAGGGAGCGUAGGCGGUCGGAUAAGUUAGAGGUGAAAUCCCGAGGCUCAACUUGGGAAUUGCAUUUGAUACUGUCAGGCUAGAGAGUAGUAGCGGUAGGCGGAAUGCGUGGUGUAGCGGUGAAAUGCUUAGAGAUCAUACAGAACACCGAUUGCGAAGGCAGCUUACCGGGCUACUUCUGACGUUGAGGCACGAAAGCGUGGGGAGCAAACAGGAUUAGAUACCCUUGUAGUC
rnacentral:rRNA from 1 species